rnacentral:rRNA from 1 species
ACUGUGAAACUGCGAAUGGCUCAUUAAAUCAGUUAUGGUUUCUUUGAUGGUACCUUGCUACUUGGAUACCCGUAGUAAUUCUAGAGCUAAUACAUGCAGGACUGCCCGACUUCGGAAGGGCUGUAUUUAUUAGAUAAGAAACCAUCUCGGGUCCGCCCGGUUGUGUGCUGAGUCAUAAUAACUGCUCGAAUCGCACGGCUCUACGCCGGCGAUGGUUCAUUCAAAUUUCUGCCCUAUCAGCUUUCGAUGGUAGGAUAGAGGCCUACCAUGGCGUUAACGGGUAACGGAGAAUUAGGGUUCGAUUCCGGAGAGGGAGCCUGAGAAAUGGCUACCACAUCCAAGGAAGGCAGCAGGCGCGUAAAUUGCCCGAAUCCUGACACAGGGAGGUAGUGACAAGAAAUAACAAUACAGGGCUACUUCUAGUCUUGUAAUUGGAAUGAGUACAACUUACAUCUCUUCACGAGGAUCAAUUGGAGGGCAAGUCUGGUGCCAGCAGCCGCGGUAAUUCCAGCUCCAAUAGCGUAUAUUAAAGUUGUUGCAGUUAAAAAGCUCGUAGUCGGAUUUCGGGUCGGGCCGAGCGGUCUGCCGAUGGGUAUGCACUGUUUGGCGCGGCCUUCUUUCCGGAGACCGCGGCUACUCUUAACUGAGCGGGCGUGGGAGACGGAUCGUUUACUUUGAAAAAAUCAAGUGUUUCUAGCAGCAGCUCGCUCUUGCAUAGGUUACAUGGGAUAAUUUAAUAGACUCUGGUGCUAUUUUGUUGGUUUCAACACCGGAUAAUGAUUAAAA